CCUUGCCAGCCCGCUCAGAACUCAAAGGAAUUGACGGGGCCCGCACAAGCGGUGGAGCAUGUGGUUUAAUUUCGAAGCAACGCGAAGAACCUUACCAGGCCUUGACAUGCAGAGAACUUUCCAGAGAUGGAUUGGUGCCUUCGGGAACUCUGACACAGGUGCUGCAUGGCUGUCGUCAGCUCGUGUCGUGAGAUGUUGGGUUAAGUCCCGUAACGAGCGCAACCCUUGCUUUUAGUUGCCAGCAGUUCGGCUGGGCACUCUAAAGGGACUGCCGGUGUUAAACCGGAGGAAGGUGGGGAUGACGUCAAGUCCUCAUGGCCUUUAUGACCAGGGCUACACACGUACUACAAUGGCCGAUACAAAGGGCAGCGACACUGCGAGGUGAAGCCAAUCCCGUAAAAUCGGUCUCAGUCCGGAUUGGAGUCUGCAACUCGACUCCAUGAAGUUGGAAUCGCUAGUAAUCGUGGAUCAGAAUGUCACGGUGAAUACGUUCCCGGGCCUU
rnacentral:rRNA from 1 species